rnacentral:rRNA from 1 species
GUGCCAGCAGCCGCGGUAAUACGGAGGGUGCGAGCGUUGUCCGGAAUCACUGGGCGUAAAGGGCGCGUAGGCGGCUGGGUAAGUCACGCGUGAAAUUCCGGGGCUCAACCCCGGAACGGCGUGUGGGACUGCCUGGCUAGAGCACGGUAGAGGCGAGUGGAAUUCCAGGUGUAGCGGUGGAAUGCGUAGAUAUCUGGAAGAACACCGGUGGCGAAGGCGGCUCGCUGGGCCGUUGCUGACGCUGAGGCGCGAAAGCGUGGGGAGCAAACAGGAUUAGAUACCCUUGUAGUCC